UAUAUGGACAAGCUAGAUCGCGGCCACCCCGCUGUAAGAAAAUUGCAUGUACCGGGGGUUAUGAUGUUACAUGACAGUACGAUGGAAUGAUAGACCUACAUGUAGUGUACUAUAUAUUCAUGAUUUUGAAUCGCUAUCAUGUUAUUUACGGAUCCCACCAAGUAUCGAAUGCAGAAGGAGGCACUAAUACAUUAAAUUCUGACUAGAAACUACCUCUUCGUUACUAUUACUACACUGUAGGCCUAGGCCAGUAGCCUACUGCCUAUUGUCCACCGGAUCAUAUGCGCCAAUUUAAAAAAAAACAGAACGGUUGAGGCUUCAUGUACUCACACAUCUGAGCAGUGAGCAGCUGUGACAUCAGUCAUGUCAUCGGAGAAAUUCGAAAGAUACCAGGAGGAGUUGCUCACACUCUAUGAAGAUUUGAAGUACCGGGUGGAGGUCACCAUACCUAAAUAUGAUGGAGAGGAACGUAAGAAGUUGAUCCGUCAUGCCGAGAGAGGGCUAGAGGAAGCAGCCAUCGUGCUGCAAGAGAUGGAAGAGGAGGCCAAACCGGCCCCUGGAAGUUAUCGUAGUCAGAUGGUAGCCAAGGUCAGAAACUACAGGAGAGAACUGGACAAAAUCACCAGGGACCUGAAAAGAGCCAGUGAUGGAAGGGGUAACCGCAGUGAAUUGUUCCACUCGCAAAGCAGCUUUGAAAACAAAGUCAAUGUUGCUCAGAGCAAUCAGCGAGCCAGGCUUCUGCAGGGUCAGGAGACCCUAAACAGAACCAGCGACAGCCUGGCCAGGACCCAUCAGAUAGCCGCAGAGACAGAUGAGAUUGGAGUGGGAAUCAUCGACGAACUGGAUGGCCAAAAGGAGCAGUUGUUAAAUGCUAGGGACAAGCUUGAGGAUAUGGACCACAGUUUAGGAAAAAGUAAAAGGAUCCUUAACUCCAUGGGCAGAAGGAUCAUAACUAACAAGCUGAUCUUGAUGGCCGUUAUCCUGGUAGAAUUGGUCAUUUUGGGCGUGGUGGUGUACCUGAAAUUCUUUUCACCCAAAGAGCCAGCACCGCCAACAGCCAGACCUUUCACUCCCAAAACGUGACCAGUCUCUCCAUCCAAAGACUAGCAGAUGGAAAUGCAGGAUGCAUCAAUCUAGAAUUACAGCACUCCAGUUCAGUGUAGUGCUGUAGUCAAUAGUCAACAGACACUCAUAUGAAAUCUCUCCAGAGACUUUUAUUUGAAAAUGGCAAUGUGGGCAGAUUCUGAAGACAAGCGGAGCAGCAUUGGGCAGUGGGUACAUCAAUCAAGGUCUUCUGGGAAACUUGCAUACAAUGGAGGGGCACGGAACAUUUCCUUCCAACCAAAUGCUCCUUCCACAUGAACAGUUCCAUCUUCUUCCUGACCAAACUGGUUCCCGCUACCUCCUUGGUUGCGAGACUCCAAUGUAAACAUGCCAUGACAGUGAAAUGGAACCAGUGACAACAUUUCCAGAUGUUGGAAAGUGUAUUGUUGAUUACUCCAAGCAAGUGGCAAUUUUUCAGAUGGGAGCUUUUACCAACCUCAAUCUUUGGCUACAACUGGGCUGUUCCAUUCCAGUUUGGUCACUGUUGAUGAACGAAGUAUACACAAUAUUCCAUGACAGUGAAGCAAGUCCUCGUCCCAGACAGGCAAACAGGAGAGUUUUCUGUGACUCCCAAAUCACUUUCCGGGGUUGGACAUAUCAGUGUAUUCAUGCUGUGAUCAACUGUAAUGCAAGUUGCUCCAGUGACAAGCACAGAUAUUCCCCGACUACUGCCAAGGGCUUGGGAAAAAAAAAGGGGGAGGGGUGGCUUGAUCCAAGACAGCUCCUGAAGCCGUUGGCAGGACACAGGGAUGGUUAGCUGAGGUGAUAACAUCUCUAGUGUCUCAAUCAACUAUGACAAUCAUCAGACUACACAAAUAUACAGCAGAAUUAAAUAAUUUGAUUUAUA
rnacentral:misc_RNA from 1 species